rnacentral:RNase_P_RNA from 1 species
GUAGGGGGGAGCUUAACUCACGGUGAAUAUAAGAAAGGCUUUUAACAGCCUGUCUUAAUGCUGAGGAAAGUCCGCCCACCAUCAAAGGCCGCUUCCAUAAGGAAGAUGGAGAGAUCCAUGGCUCUGGCUAAGAAACGGAACAGCUUUUGGAUAAGAUGAAAAUGGUGAAGCUUUGCUGCGAAGCAAGUGAGACCCCAUAGAUGUUUCCAAAAGUGCUGGUGAAACGGCGAAACCCUGUCGAAAGCCUGACUUUCGGAAGGUCCAAGGAACUUUGUUCCUGAGGAGCUGGCUGGUGCAAGUAUCGAGGAUACGCUAAGUCGAAUGUUAAGGAAGGCUGCUUAUGGCAGCGAAUGCAAAUUAUCGUUCGCUUGAUCGUAAAGCCUUACAGAAGGCGGCUUAUAUCUUCCCUAC